rnacentral:rRNA from 1 species
UACGUAGGGGGCUAGCGUUGUCCGGAAUCACUGGGCGUAAAGAGCGUGUAGGCGGCUCGGUAAGUCCGCUGUGAAAGUCCAGGGCUCAACCCUGGAAUGCCAGUGGAAACUGUCGAGCUAGAGUCCGGAAGAGGCGAGUGGAAUUCCGGGUGUAGUGGUGAAAUGCGUAGAGAUCCGGAGGAACACCAGUGGCGAAGGCGGCUCGCUGGGCUCUACCUGACGCUGAGGCGCGAAAGCGUGGGGAGCGAACCGG